rnacentral:rRNA from 1 species
UACAGAGGUCUCAAGCGUUGUUCGGAUUCAUUGGGCGUAAAGGGUGCGUAGGCGGCGCGGUAAGUCGGGUGUGAAAUCUCGGAGCUUAACUCCGAAACUGCAUUCGAUACUGCCGUGCUUGAGGACUGGAGAGGAGACUGGAAUUUACGGUGUAGCGGUGAAAUGCGUAGAUAUCGGAAGGAACGCCGGUGGCGAAAGCGAUCCGCUGGCCCUCUUCUGACGCUGAGGCGCGAAAGCCAGGGGAGCAAACGGG